CACCAACAUUUAACUUCCCAUUUUCAAGUUGCAGCAAUCUCGUAAGUUCCUCAUGUAAGUAGGUUCAUACAGAUGUGUCCUUUUGCAGACAGUGGCUGUUUAAGUCAGAAGGCAAGGAGGAAGAGAAACAGCCACAGAAGUUGGCAAGGCCUGGCAGGAUGGAGAAUCCGGAGUUAUUGCUUAAUGGACACAGAGUUUCUGUCUGGAUGAUGAAAAAGUUCUGGAGAGAGAUUGUAGUUAUAGUUGCACAAUGCUGUAAAUGUACUUAAUGCCAAUGAAUUAUACACUGAAAAAUGGUUAUGAUAAUACAUUUUGUUAUAUUUUACCACAAAUAAAA
rnacentral:lncRNA from 1 species